UGAUUGCCGCUGCAGCAUCAUCAAGAUUCCCAAUACCCCCGCCCAUGAAUGAUUUGGGCAAAAGUGAAAAAAAAAAAGCUUAUAAAGAUAAGCUCUUUUAUUUUAACUUUGCCUUUGUGGGUUUGUGAAUCUUGAUGAUGCUCCAAUAGCAAGCAGUGGCUGUUA
rnacentral:pre_miRNA from 1 species